GCAUCGCGGUGGCCAAUCACCGUCUUGCUUUUUUAUUAAAUACAUAUAUGUAUUAUCAGAAAAGCAAGACGGUGAUUGGCCACCGCGAUGCCGCUUUGCCGCGUCCUGUGUGCAGAAGUCAUCACACAUCUGAUGUAGCAAACUCGCGGUCUAUACCUGCCGCGUUUUCGCCGUCAUGUCAUGACGGCAGGCUCUGCUCGAUUUCUGCUGCAUUUUUGCUGUCAGUACUUCAUGUGAUACAUCGUGCUGUAUUUUCGCCAAGUUUCUGGUAUCGCAGCGUGAUAGCAAAUAUGUCAAAUUUCUAGCUACAUUUUAUUAAUUUAAUGUGACAUCAUGACAUAUCUGUUUUUUUAUUUAAUUUUUAGUGGUAUAUUGUGUCAACACACAAUGUCUGAUUUUUGUUUUGUUAAUGUCUUUAAAUUUUGUUGUACUUUUGCUGCAUUUUUGAGGGCACAUUGUGACGCAAAGUCUACUCGAUUUUUGUCGUGUUUCUGUUAAUGUUAGUUGAAACGGCAAACUGUAAUUGCUUGCUGUCCAACUUUUGCCAGCAUAAUAUGUGUCAAAAUUUUUCAGUUCGUGCUCUCGGCAGGUUUGGCUAUCUGGGUAUGUAUAGCAAGGUUUGCUCUAUUCUUGCCACAAAUUUGCUAUCAUAUUGUGUACAGCAAGAUUUGCCUUGUUCUUGUUGCAAAUUUGUUGUUAUGCUUUACUAGCAAAUUUUACUCUGUUAUUUGCAUAAAAUAUGCUUCAUACUAUUACAACAAGUCUUGCCAGCAAAAGCUAAGCUCAAUGCGGACACACCUUGUCGUAAUUUUGUUGCAAAGAUUUGCUCGAGUUUGCGGCAAACUUCGCGCAAAGUUUGCGUUAUUUUGCUAGCUGGGUAAUAUAUGUAUCUAUACAAUUAAUAUAUGUAUCUACCCAAUAAACAUUCAGAUGACUUUUGGAGGACUUGUAAGUUAUCUUUUUUAAGAGCUCUUUAAGAUGUCUAUAAAGUUGUCAAUUUGACAUCUUUUUGACGUCUUGCAUGCAAAACUUAACUUUUUAAUCACCUUUGAAAGAUGACUUUUUUGACGUAUUGAAAAGUGAUCUUUAAAGACAUCUUUUGUAAGUUGUCUUCAAGUUGUCAAUUACAGAAUUUUAAGACAUCAAUUAGAGAACUUUGCUAACUCGAGUGAGUUUUUCGAACGCAGCUCGAGAGAGGGUACUGCACAACAUAACCUAGAAAAAAUAAGAUAUAAAAUUGCAGUCAUUGAGUGUUAAGUAUCGACAGCUAUCGUGUAUAUACGUGGGAUAUUAAUUUAAUAAUAAUUAUGUUGAAAAGAAAAGGUGUCGAAAACUGCAUGAAAAAACAUAUCAAAAAGAUUACUUAUAUCACGCAAAAGUUUUCUACUACGGAUGAAAUAGUGAGAAAACGAAUACAACUUUGGCUGCAAAAGUAUGGUGAUCGUAUAAAUAAAGCUCAGGAAUGAACAGUAUGACCUAACAAUGAAACAAAAGUUAUUUUUUAUUAAAAUAUUUACUGUUUUAAAUGUGAUAUUCUUGACAAAAUUAUUUUGUUUAAUACGCUUAUAAUUUUCUAAAUGUGAUGUUUUUGUAAUGUGUAGACAUAGUAAAUAUUGAAUAUACGUGCAAAAGUGUAACCGC